GAAGCUGUGCUUGCACAGCCUAGCCAAGGCGGACGGGUGAGUAACGCGUAAGGAACUUGCCCUGCAGUCAGGGAUAACAGACGGAAACGACUGAUAAGACCUGGUAAAGUCAGGCGGACUCAUGUCCAGCCUGAUGAAAAGAGAUGCUGCAGGAGAGCCUUGCGUCCUAUUAGCUUGUUGGUGGGGUAACGGCCCACCAAGGCGAUGAUAGGUAGCCGGCCUGAGAGGGUGGACGGCCACAAGGGGACUGAGAUACGGCCCUUACUCCUACGGGAGGCAGCAGUGGGGAAUAUUGGACAAUGGGGGCAACCCUGAUCCAGCAAUUCUGUGUGCACGAUGAAGGUUUUCGGAUUGUAAAGUGCUUUCAGCAGGGAAGAAACAAGUGACGGUACCUGCAGAAGAAGCGACGGCUAAAUGACGUGCCAGCAGCCGCGGUAAUACGUAUGUCGCAAGCGUUAUCCGGAAUUAUUGGGCAUAAAGGGCAUCUAGGCGGCCAGAUAAGUCUGGGGUGAAACUUGCGGCUCAACCGCAAGCCUGCCCUGGAACUAUGUGGCUAGAGUACUGGAGAGGUGGACGGAACUGCACGAGUAGAGGUGAAUUCGUAGAUAUGUGCAGGAAUGCCGAUGAUGAAGAUAGUUCACUGGACGGUAACUGACGCUGAAGUGCGAAAGCUAGGGGAGCAAACAGGAUUAGAUAUCCUGGUAGUCCUAGCUGUAAACGAUGAUCACUGGGUGUGGGCAUGAAGAGUGUCCGUGCCGAAGCU
rnacentral:rRNA from 1 species